AAUCUCGUUCCUCUGCUCGUCUCCUCCCCUCCCGCUCCCUUGCGUGUGCCGCGGCGGCCGGCGCCAUCCCGGCCCGCUGCCCCCCGCCUCGAGCUCCAGAUCCAACGAUAGUGGUGCUGGCCGCGACGGACGGUCGGACGCGGCAGCGCGGAGGUGGAGGUUCACCAGACGAACGGAUGCAGCGGCGCUGGCUCGCCGGACGGCCGUCCGCGACACCGGGCGGGUGGCUGAACGCGGCAUCGCGGAGGUGGAGGCUCACCAGACGAGCGGAUACAUCGGCGUUGGCUCGCCGGCCGGCCGCGACGCUGGCAGAGGCUCGUCGGACGGCCGGACACGGCGGCGAGCCAGUGGAGUUCUCCAAUCCGCGAGCGGCCGGUCGCGCUGACGCCCCCUCCCUGCCCCCCCACGCAUCGCGAAGGAGCCAGGCCUCCCGCCUCCCAUCGAUUUCCCGUCUGCCGCCGUCUCUGACGAUUUCGCUUGGUCUGCUCUCUCUCCCUGAGCAAGAGAAGAAGAUGUUGAGCUGCAGCCAUCCCCAUCCUGUUCCUCCCCGACCAAGACAAGGAGAGGACGUCGAGCAGGGUCACCGCCUCCCCAUGGUCUGCUUGCCCCCUUUUUUUUCUCUCCCCAUCGCCAAGAUUGAAUAGUGGUCGGACGGGCGGAACGGUGGUACUAUCCCGUCGGAUGCCGAGGCCGCCAUUCCCUCCACUGAGUUUGCUGCCUCGGAGCACCUCACGGCUCGGCUCGGCGCUGCCUCGAAGGUAGGAUCCGCUCGAGCUUGGCACGCGUCUGUAUCCUUCCACGGGUUUUACCUCUGAUUGUUUGAUUCAAGUGGCGAGGGGAGCGGUCUGGGGCGGUGGUUUUGUCAUGGCCGGCGCUGUAGUGAGAUCCCUAGGCCAGUGAAGAGACAGCAACGACCAGGUGGAUCCAAGGAGGAUAAGAGGUCUCAUGGGGAGGAUGGGUUCAGAAUGCGAAGAUUCCUCCAUCCUCUGCUAGCAUCGGUCCAAAGAACUAGGUGUAUUCUAAAGGAAGAAGAUGCAACUUAAUAGAAGAAUGGGCCCAUAUUUUGCAAGCACAUCGCCGCACUCUGCUGGUAAUCCGCCCUCAAGGGUCCUCUCAUGAUGUAAAGCACCCCCCCCCCAAUCAUGAAUCCAUGGGCAGCCGAAGGUUAUCUUUUCUUUUGCUCUGAUUUGUCUCAUUCCUUCUCUCUUUCACUCCCCAUAAUUUCUCUUCUUUUUGUGUGUAGAUGCUUUUGUAUGUAUGCCUAUAAUGUGUUUGAUGAAAAUACAAUCAAGUUACAGAGGAAGAUUAUUUUAUUUUUAUGCUAUGCUAUCUACUCAGUAAUUCUUUACUUCUAAAAUUUAUCUGCAGUCAACUUUCAUUUAGCUAGAUUAUCCCAGUUAUGUUCCUAGGUAUACGACAAAAAAGAUUUGAGAUAAGAUUCAGUACCAUGCUUUAGUGGCAUGCAAACUAUAUAGACAUAUAUUUCAGGAUGUUGUAUUUCUUUUUAACUAAACAAGAGCACAUGUGAUCUUACUGUUUACGGUCACAUAGAUCAUAGAUAAUUUUAUUUAUUUCAAUUUAUUUUCUUGUAUUUAUGGGUUUUGACCCAAAUCUGCCCAUGAACUUUGACUGAUGUUCAUGAUUUUUCAGUAUUAAUUUUGGUAUACAAAAUAUUCAGACUAUGGUUUACUAUGAAUUGGAUUUUAUUAGACAGGUCAACAGAGCCGGUGUUCAACACCCAGAUUCAUUUAUUUGUCCUUUCAAUUGCAACUUCAGUAUUUGUUUAACUGAGAAUAUACUAAGGUGAAGAGUGAACUGAAUCAUUUUGAAUUUGCUGUAGUUUUUUGCGACUUAGAUGUUUUUACAAUUUUACUUCACCAGAAGUCAUAUAUCAAGAAGUUACGGCUCAUCAGCAAAGUAAUGUAUCCAAAGAUUAUCAGUUUAUUGUGCUUUGAAUCAAUGCAGCUUCAUGCUAAUUGUAUCAUAUAGUCAAUUUACAUAUUAUUUGGUUGACCUACAGUUUUAGAUUGUCGUUAUUUAAUCCAUGUUAAGGUAAGGAAGUUUCUCCUGUGCUUCUUUCUUCUAACUGGUAUCUUCCGAACAUUGAGCUACAGUUUAAGGCGAUAAGUGCAGUUGGUUUUAAGCUCAUGGUUGAUACCUUUUGCAGGACAAUCAUGUGUCCUUCUCAGGUCGGAGUUACCUUUCAGAAUUAAAUAUUCUUGGAGAUACUAGAUACUUUUGCGAUUAAUGGCACAGGGAAAAGACAGAGAUUCUACUGUAAAUAAUAUGAGAUAAACCCAAAUGAAAAAAACAAUGCCAACAAUGACGUGUCAACAAAAAUGAUGAUGACCCGCAACAGAUAAGCCCU